rnacentral:rRNA from 1 species
GCGAAGCGGGAAGAGCUCAAAUUUAUAAUCUGGCACCUUCGGUGUCCGAGUUGUAAUCUCUAGAAAUGUUUUCCGCGUUGGACCGCACACAAGUCUGUUGGAAUACAGCGGCAUAGUGGUGAGACCCCCGUAUAUGGUGCGGACGCCCAGCGCUUUGUGAUACAUUUUCGAAGAGUCGAGUUGUUUGGGAAUGCAGCUCAAAUUGGGUGGUAAAUUCCAUCUAAAGCUAAAUAUUGGCGAGAGACCGAUAGCGAACAAGUACCGUGAGGGAAAGAUGAAAAGCACUUUGGAAAGAGAGUUAACAGUACGUGAAAUUGUUGGAAGGGAAACGCUUGAAGUCAGACUUGCUUGCCGAGCAAUCGGUUUGCAGGCCAGCAUCAGUUUUCCGGGAUGGAUAAUGGUAGAGAGAAGGUAGCAGUUUCGGCUGUGUUAUAGCUCUCUGCUGGAUACAUCUUGGGGGACUGAGGAACGCAGUGUGCCUUUGGCGGGGGUUUCGACCUCUUCACACUUAGGAUGCUGGUGGAAUGGCUUUAAACGACCCGUCUUG